UCAGGCCUAACACAUGCAAGUCGAACGCAGUAGCAAUACUGAGUGGCAAACGGGUGAGUAUAAUGUGGGAAUCUGCCUUUUGGUUUGGAAUAACACGGGGAAACUUGUGCUAAUACCGAAUAAGCCCUUACGGGGAAAGUUUUAACGCCGAAAGAUGAGCCUGCACUUGAUUAGCUAGUUGGUAAGGUAAAAGCUUACCAAGGCAACGAUCAUUAGCUGUUCUUAGAGGAAGACCAGCCACAUUGGGACUGAGACACGGCCCAGACUCCUACGGGAGGCAGCAGUGGGGAAUCUUGCACAAUGGGGGAAACCCUGAUGCAGCGAUGCCGCGUGAGUGAAGAAGGCCCUUGGGUUGUAAAACUCUUUCGUCGGGGAAGAAAAUGACUGUACCCGAAUAAGAAGGUCCGGCUAACUUCGUGCCAGCAGCCGCGGUAAUACGAAGGGACCUAGCGUAGUUCGGAAUUACUGGGCUUAAAGAGCUCGUAGGUGGUUAAAAAAGUUGAUGGUGAAAUCCCAAGGCUCAACCUUGGAACUGCCAUCAAAACUUUUUAGCUAGAGUGUGAUAGAGGUAAGUGGAAUUUCUAGUGUAGAGGUGAAAUUCGUAGAUAUUAGAAAGAACACCAAAUGCGAAGGCAACUUACUGGGUCACUACUGACACUGAGGAGCGAAAGCAUGGGUAGCGAAGAGGAUUAGAUACCCU
rnacentral:rRNA from 1 species